rnacentral:rRNA from 1 species
UACAGAGGUCACAAGCGUUGUUCGGAUUCACUGGGCGUAAAGGGUGCGUAGGUGGUGAGGUAAGUCGGAUGUGAAAGCUCGGAGCUCAACUCCGAAAUGGCAUUGGAAACUACCUUGCUCGAGGGUUGGAGGGGGGACUGGAAUACUUGGUGUAGCAGUGAAAUGCGUAGAUAUCAAGUGGAACACCAGUGGCGAAGGCGAGUCCCUGGACAACUCCUGACACUGAGGCACGAAAGCUAGGGGAGCAAACAGG